rnacentral:rRNA from 1 species
UACGUAGGGUGCGAGCGUUAAUCGGAAUUACUGGGCGUAAAGCGUGCGCAGGCGGUUCGUUGUGUCGGUGGUGAAAUCCCCGGGCUUAACCUGGGAAUGGCCAUGGAAACUGGCGAACUGGAGUGCGGCAGAGGGGGGUGGAAUUCCGCGUGUAGCAGUGAAAUGCGUAGAGAUCGGGAAGAACAUCGGUGGCGAAGGCGCUCUACUGGACCACAACUGACACUCAGGGACGAAAGCUAGGGGAGCGAAUGGG